GAGACUUUGAAGCGGCGUCGCCAGGCGUUGUGGAGUCACCCUUGAAAUACCGCCCUUGCCACAGGUGAAGUCUAACCCUUCCGGGGGAACAGUGUAUGGUGGGUAGUUUGACUGGGGCGGUCGCCUCCUAAAGAGUAACGGAGGCUUCUAAAGGUGUCCUCAGCACGGUUGGUAAUCGUGCGCAGAGUGCAAUGGCACAAGGACGCUUGACUGUGAGACAGACAAGUCGAGCAGGUACGAAAGUAGAGCAUAGUGAUCCGGUGGUUCCGUAUGGAAGGGCCAUCGCUCAAAGGAUAAAAGGUACUCUGGGAUAACAGGCUGAUCUCCCCCAAGAGCUCAUAUCGACGGGGAGGUUUGGCACCUCGAUGUCGGCUCGUCGCAUCCUGGGGCUGGAGAAGGUCCCAAGGGUUGGGCUGUUCGCCCAUUAAAGUGGCACGCGAGCUGGGUUCAGAACGUCGCGAGACAGUUCGGUCUCUAUCUACAGUGGGCGUUAGAGAUUUGAGUGGACCUGCUUCUAGUACGAGAGGACCGAAGCGGA
rnacentral:rRNA from 1 species